rnacentral:rRNA from 1 species
CCGCCCUACGGGGGGCAGCAGUGGGGAAUAUUGCACAAUGGGGGAAACCCUGAUGCAGCGACGCCGCGUGAGUGAAGAAGUAUUUCGGUAUGUAAAGCUCUAUCAGCAGGGAAGAUAAUGACGGUACCUGACUAAGAAGCUCCGGCUAAAUACGUGCCAGCAGCAGCGGUAAUACGUAUGGAGCAAGCGUUAUCCGGAUUUACUGGGUGUAAAGGGAGCGCGGACGGCAAGGCACGUCUGAUGUGAAAGUACGAGGCUCAACC